rnacentral:tRNA from 1 species
GGCUUUGUAGUCAAAUUUAUGAUAUAAGAUUGCAAGUCUUAAGUUGUAUUAAUACCAAGGCUU